GUGCUUGCUUCAGCAGCACACAUCCUAAAAUUUGAACCAUACAGAGCAAAUUAGCACAGCCCCUGCACAAGAAGGGUGACACACAAAUACAUAUAGCAAUUUUUCAUAGUU